rnacentral:pre_miRNA from 1 species
AAUAAGUGCAGUUUUGCACUAUUCACGUUCAACGUUUGACCGUCCGUCUUAUUUGAAAAAUUUGUGAAAAAAUUAAAAACAUUUAGUCACACAUAAAGUACUAUUCAUGUUUUAUCAUCUAAUAGCAAUAAAAAUACUAAUCAUAAAAAAUUUUUAAAUAAGACGGACGGUCAAACGUUGAAUGUGAAUAGUGCAAAACUGCACUUAUU